rnacentral:rRNA from 1 species
AUGGAUACGAGCUGCGGGGCGGAGAACUUGAAGGGGCUGACCGGCCUGUCACCGUUUCCGCUGGAUCCAAGCCUCGCUCCGCUGCUGCUGUUCGACGACCAACAUGACGGCGAGACCAUAUUCCUGUAUAGCAUCCCUAAGAGGCAGUUACUGGGCAGGAGAGCCGAUGGUUUCAGAGGCCAUCGUUACUGGCUAACACCUCAAGGAUGGGUGCUCAUGCUGCAUCUCGAAUCGCACGACUCUUUCCUCUGGAACCCAUCAACUCUCGAGAGGAUCAGCUUACCUCCAGACCAAGAGAAUCUCCUUCAAGCCGCACAAAGCGUCAGGUGCCUUCUCUCGCUCAAGCCGACAGAUCCAGACUGCGUCGUGCUCGUAGCAGACCUCGCGCACGCACUCAUCUACUACUGCCAUGCAGGAGGAAACCAAUGGUUCGAGCACGAGCACGAGCAUGGGAAAAGCUUCAAUGAAGGUCUUACCACGCUUGGUGGCAAGUUCUACGCAUACGACCUGUAUCACGACGAGCACGAUCAGAUUGUCACACUAGCGUUCUUACCAUACCCAGCGUUCACCACGCACGGCUUGCUGCAACAACGUUUCCCAAUCGGGUAUACCAGGUUUCAUUGCGGCAUCUUAGAGUGCCGCGGAGAGCUGUUUGUGCUAAGCUUUUGUUACCACGGGAUAUCUGUCCGGCAUAUCGCGCGAAUUGUUGUGCGCAAGUUGGAUGUCUCCAAUGGAGCUUGGCUCAAGGUGGACACGCUCGGCGACAUGCUGAUUUUCUACGAUAGUUGCCGCGGUUAUGGAGCGUCGUUGGAUGCACUCCAGCUCGGUCUAAGGAAACGGGACUGCAUAUACUUUUUGAUGCCCGAUGACAAGGCGUUGUACGUUUAUGAUAUGAAACGAGGAACAACUGCUAUGCACAAUCUUGGACCCAGCCUUCGAGAUUCUCUUGUGCCUCAGUUUUUAUUGCCUUUGGCUUCGAUUUGA